rnacentral:tRNA from 1 species
GCCUUCGUAGUGUAAUGGUCAGCACUUUCGGCGUGUAAUUUAGAGGUCCGAGGUUCGAGUCCCGGCGAGAGCA